UUUUAAUUUUCGGCCAACAGUUAAGUGAACCAACUUUCCACUGCGCCUUUUUUUCCAACUCAAUACUUUGAAGUUUGAACAAUUCUCUUUGCCUUUCUUCUCUCCAUAAAUUCUAAUCUAUCCGAGGUAUGGCAUGUGGCCGCACUUGCUUGCUGAGGGAGUGUUGGUGCUGAUCCUUCUUUAAGGAAGAAAGUAGGGAGGAGAGUGAAAUCAUGUUUGUUCAUGAUCUAGCAGCGAAAUUGAGUACCGGAAAAGGCCCCCAGACUCUUUUCCAGUUUUCUGAUCUAUCAGUAACUAAGCCUGAUACGGUAACAUCCUCCUCCAGUAUUCGAGUUUUAUCAAACCAUUACAGCUUAGGCGACUGGUCUUAUCAGGUAAGCAAAUACUUUGGUAAGAAAUCUUGCUCUUUAAUAAUAUGCAGAUUUUAUUUGCAUAGCUUGGAUUUUCUUGAAUUUUAUUCACCCACUGUAA